GUGCCAGCAGCCGCGGUAAUACGGAGGGUGCAAGCAUUAAUCGGAUUUAUUGGGCGUAAAGGGCGCGUAGGCGGGUGUGCAAGUUAAAUGUGAAAUUCCGAAGCUCAACUUCGGAGCUGCAUUUAAGACUGCGGACCUUGAGGAUUGGCGGAGAAAAUGGAAUUCCACGUGUAGCGGUGAAAUGCGUAGAUAUGUGGAAGAACACCGGUGGCGAAAGCGAUUUUCUAGCUUAUUCCUGACGCUGAGGCGCGAGAGCAAGGGGAGCAAACAGGAUUAGAUACCCUGGUAGUCCUUGCCGUAAACGAUGUAUACUUGAUGUAGUUAGGCUCAACCCUGACUGUGUCGUAGCUAACGCGAUAAGUAUACCGCCUGAGGAGUACGCUCGCAAGGGUGAA
rnacentral:rRNA from 1 species